rnacentral:rRNA from 1 species
CAGUCGCCGCGGUAAUACGUAGGUGGCGAGCGUUGUCCGGAAUUAUUGGGCGUAAAGCGCGCGCAGGCGGAUAGGUCAGUCUGUCUUAAAAGUUCGGGGCUUAACCCCGUGAUGGGAUGGAAACUGCCAAUCUAGAGUAUCGGAGAGGAAAGUGGAAUUCCUAGUGUAGCGGUGAAAUGCGUAGGUAUUAGGAAGAACACCAGUGGCGAAGGCGACUUUCUGGACGAAAACUGACGCUGAGGCGCGAAAGCCAGGGGAGCGAACGGGAUUAGAUACCCCCGUAGUCCCUGUCUCUUAUACA